AACGUAGGGGACAAGCGUUAUCCGGAUUUACUGGGCGUAAAGCGCCCGUAGGCGGCCUGAUAAGUUGGACGUGAAAGCUCCCGGCUUAACUGGGAGAGGCCGUUCAAAACUGUGAGGCUAGAGUGAGGCAGAGGAGCGCGGAAUUCCCGGUGUAGUGGUGGAAUGCGUAGAGAUCGGGAGGAACACCAGUGGCGAAAGCGGCGCUCUGGGCCUAAACUGACGCUGAGGGGCGAAAAGCGUGGGGGAGCGAACGGGG
rnacentral:rRNA from 1 species